CGUCGGUCCCCCCGCGACGAUAGUCCGCAAAUCCCGCCAGGUCCGGAAGGAAGCAACGGUAGUGGAUGAUUCGGGUGCCGGGGUGUGGCUGGCGGGG
rnacentral:SRP_RNA from 2 species